rnacentral:lncRNA from 1 species
CCCAGCAAUCCUGUCCUGCCAAUUCGGUUUGGGUUGGGAAAAGGUCAGGAGCAGCCCUGGAGCUGGCACUUGCACAGUGCUGAAUCACUUGGUCACUGUGUUCAGGUUUCAGAAUGCAGAUUGUCACUGCUGCUUUUUAUGAGAACAAGGACCUAAUUAUGAUUUCACAAUUUGUGUACUGUAAGCUCAAGAAUCAGAAGGUAAUCAAAGCUCCAGAGGAGAUGCACAGAAGGCACCUUCUACCUGCUCUUUGCCUUGGCCAUGAUGGGAAACUGCACCUGUGGACUGAGCCUUGUUCCAAAGAUGCCAAACCCCAAAUCCUCCUGGGCCCUCUGCUUUGUUCACACCUUCCCUGGCUCACUGGGAGCUUUGGAGCUUUGCUCCUUGACAUUUUAGUAUCAUUUUCCUGUUACAGCC